AGUGAACGCUGGCGGUAGGCCUAACACAUGCAAGUCGAACGGCAGCACAGUAAGAGCUUGCUCUUACGGGUGGCGAGUGGCGGACGGGUGAGGAAUACAUCGGAAUCUACUUUUUCGUGGGGGAUAACGUAGGGAAACUUACGCUAAUACCGCAUACGACCUACGGGUGAAAGCAGGGGAUCUUCGGACCUUGCGCGAUUGAAUGCGCCGAGGUCGGAUUAGCUAGUUGGCGGGGUAAAGGCCCACCAAGGCGACGAUCCGUAGCUGGUCUGAGAGGAUGAUAAGCCACACUGGAAGUGAGACACGGUCCAGACUCCUACGGGAGGCAGCAGUGGGGAAGAUUGGACAAUGGGCGAAAGCCUGAUCCAGCCAUACCGCGUGGGUGAAGAAGGCCUUCGGGUUGUAAAGCCCUUUUGUUGGGAAAGAAAAGCAGCAGGUUAAUACCCCGCUGUUCUGACGGUACCCAAAGAAUAAGCACCGGCUAACUUCGUG
rnacentral:rRNA from 1 species